rnacentral:rRNA from 1 species
CCUACGGGUGGCAGCAGUGGGGAAUAUUGCGCAAUGGACGAAAGUCUGACGCAGCGACGCCGCGUGAGGGAUGAAGGUUUUCGGAUCGUAAACCUCUGUCAGGAGGGAAGAAAGCGCAUGGCGCCAAUCAGCCAUGCGUUGACGGUACCUCCAAAGGAAGCGCCGGCUAACUCCGUGCCAGCAGCCGCGGUAAUACGGAGGGCGCGAGCGUUAAUCGGAAUUACUGGGCGUAAAGCGCGCGUAGGCUGUUGUGUAAGUUGGGGGUGAAAUCCCACGGCUCAACCGUGGAACAGCCCUUGAUACUGCGCGACUUGAAUCCGGGAGAGGGUGGCGGAAUUCCAGGUGUAGGAGUGAAAUCCGUAGAUAUCUGGAGGAACAUCAGUGGCGAAGGCGGCCACCUGGACCGGUAUUGACGCUGAGGCGCGAAAGCGUGGGGAGCAAACAGGAUUAGAUACCCUUGUAGGUCC